GACGAACGCUGGCGGCGUGCUUAACACAUGCAAGUCGAACGAAGUGGCGAACGGGUGAGUAACGCGUAAUCAACCUGCCCUUCAGGGGGGGACAACAGUUGGAAACGAAUGCUAAUACCGCCUACUGAAGGAGGGUAUUUCGUCUGGUUAGCUCGUGGGAGGGGUACCGGCCCACCAAGGCGAAGAUCAGUAGGCGGUCUGAGGGAAAGGACGGCCAAAAUGUGACUGAGACAACGCCCAGAAUCCUAAGGGAGGCAGCAAGGGGGAAUCUUCCGAAAUGGACGAAAGUCUGACGGAGCAACGCCCGGGGAGUGGUAACGGCCUUCGGGUUGGAAAGCUCUGUUAAUCGGGACGCGGUACCGGAAUAGAAAGCCACGGCUAACUACGUGCCAGCCGCCGCGGUAAUAC
rnacentral:rRNA from 1 species